rnacentral:lncRNA from 1 species
AUACACAGCACAGAAGCCAGAAGUUUUAUGAGUCGGUCUACCUAGCUUCACCCUUCACACAGAGGGCUUCACAGUACAGUACAUUAGCACCUGAUGAUUGAUUGAGAUGAUGGACAUAGCUCAUGGUAAAAUAAUCUACAUGGUGAUUUUCAAAGGUUAACCUAUAGCCUACAGGUGGAGACGUGUAAGGACUAAUUGCUCAUGGGAUCGCUACAUAUCUCAUUACCUGUAUCAUAGCCCUGAGAAAUACCUCUGGAACUAAAGCAGUCCCCAGACUAGUUGUCAAGAUCAUAGGCAGCAAACAGGUCAAGUAUUUCAUCACAGAAGAGACAGACAAGGUGAAUGGAGCAGCUAUUCCUCUGGCGGUUGUGGGUAAUGUGAUGAAGGAACCACCAGACAAACAGGACUCUAUAGUGGCCAGAUCACACAGACAAGCUGAGGCUGAGGGGGGUGUGGGGUCAGCUUUUCAGGCUACGCUCCACAAGGCAGUUAACCCACUGUUCCCCGGGCACCGAAGACGUGGAUGUCGAAGAACAGGAAGACUGUCUCUCAUUGGCCAUCAGUGAGCAGCUGGCUGACUGGCAGGCUUCUUCACCCCUGAGGACCAUUCAGGAGGAAGUUGUUGCAAUUGAACCUGCCCUCAAAGGGACCAUCAGCCAAUCACAGAUCACUCAGGCGUUUCUGAGACACGAGGUUCCACUGGGAUUAACAACGUUCCGUCAGCUCCUCCUAAUGUUCUGUGAUGCUGACCAUCCAGCUCAGGCAGAGUUUGGGCAUGUGUCUCACACGAGGAGUCCCCAGGGGUUGCACUGAGCCCCCACCAGCUUCUGUGGAUCCCAUGGAAACAGAAAGAUGGCUCCAAGGGUUCCAGAGAAUGGAGAGAGCCAUGCACAUAUGUGACAGCCAGAACACUGGUUACAUAGACCAGGACAAAGCCAGACGUCUGAUUCAGAACUACAACCACAUGUUCAACCUGAACCUGAGUCCCCUGGGGAUCAGUGAGGUCACCCAUGGUCAUGGAGGGAGAAGACAGGGCAAUGUCCACCUGGACACAGCCCUACAGUACCUAAAGGAACUGUGAUGAAGGUGUUUGGUGAGGACUGUUUUAUGUAUAGUGAGCAGAGACAGACCCUCCUUCAACCCUGUCCACACCUAAAUAGAAGAGGCUAUUUCAGCCACUCAUGGAGGACAAAGCUGAUUUUAAAAUAAAUAUUUGUUUUGAAAAACCAAUUUGUUUCAGCAUGUAGCCUUCAUCUGGAUUUUAUAGACAGAAGAGGUCAUUUGGGACAUACUGUAGAACAAAAGGGGCUUUUCGUCAACACCUCCUAUGGCUCUCCCCCAGUCAGGCUCCACAGCAGGUCAGGGGCUACCAGGACAGUCAGUAUAGCCAGGGCUAACAGCCACAGCAUCAGUCUCACCAGAUUCAGCACACACCACUGGGCCCACCGACGCAUUGUAUCUGGAUAGAAUAGGUCCUAAGGGUGGUCAAUAUAGUGGCAUCAAUACAAUGAUCCUAUUGAAUUAUUCUGAUUCUAUGUGGAAUUCUCUGUGCAUCAAUGUCAGUAUAAUUUGGAGUGAAAACAGAGAAAAUGAAGGUGUUAUGAUUAGUGUCUUAUCUUUUGUCCACUCACCUUGCAAUCUUGACAUAAAACUGUGCCUGAUGUUUAUGUUGUUGUGAUUUUCCAAACAUUGUGCUCUAGAAUUCAGAGGUGAUUUAGAACAGGUCAGCGGCACUUCCAGUUAUGAGAUGGGAAAAUAACAAUUAUGAAAGCUGUACAAUUUGUAUGGAUUAACGCAAAGACAUUUAAAACCUAGGCUAGCCGACUGCUUGAAAUCAUACUAUCUUUCGGGGAAGGUGUAUUGCUGUUAAGAAUGUCAAUAAACCACUCCCAUGAAGCGAUGGACAACAAGGAUGCAUUUGAUUGUUUCAUUUCUGUGAAACCGAAAGUAAAAUAUCGACUUGAGGAGAGCAACUGAAAAACUGUUUGAUAUUCAUUGUUGAAGUAUCCAGCAGCAAAGACAGAUGAUGGGGAAAGAGAACCAACAUAGACCAUUAACCAUGAGCUAUAGAGACGCCCUUCAAACGCAAUCUAACACAGUAAGGACUUCUGCUAGACCAGCAGCCUCUACUACUGCCCAGAAUAGUUACCUGACUAGACUGAGGAGCAGCCUGCAUGACCUGAUGAACCAGCACCCAGAGGGAGUACCCCUUUCCCGUAUGAGUCAGGCCUGCUCUCUCCUCCUGCACCCGGAGGUACUUAAGCCCUACCCCUCCACCAGGUACCUCUUGGCCUCCCUCCCCGAUGUGGUGAGGCUUCAGGGGAUCGGGGUACAGACACUGGUGCUCCCAGCACUAGGCCAUUGUGGAGGUGGGACGGAUGCCGGUCGUGUUGGUUGUCGCUAGCCUUCUUGACCUAUGCCAAGCAGGGACCAGGCCGUCCGCAAAGAGACCGAUUUCAAGAUUCCAAUCAAAGUCAAGCCAACGGAAGAACCUCAAAUGUACACGGCCCAUAACGAUAUCAGGGAAAAGCAUUAGGGAAGUCUACAUACAAGACAAUGGCACAUCCUACAAGACGGGAUACACACAAUCAACACAUUCUUACCAUGAAAGUACACGCCUGUGAAUUACAGAUUGAUGAUUUUUUACAUUUUUAGACUGUGGAAAUACAAUUCAUUCAAUGAUUUUAUAUACAUAUAUAUAUACAUACACACACACAUACAUAUACACACACACACACAGAUAUAUAUAUAUACAUAUAUAUACACACACACAUACACAUAUAUAUAGUAUACACACACAGAUAUAUAUAUACAUAUAGAUAUACAUACAUAUACAUAUAUAGAUAUACAUAUAUAUACAUAUAUAUACACACACACACAUAUAUAUAUAUAUAUAUAUAUAUACACACACAUAUAUAUAUACACACAUAUAUGAUACAGCAUGGCAAACAAGAUUUCACUUUAAAGUGUACAUGUUUGAACAUAGACACUUUGUACCCAAUUUUAUUCAUGUUUGACAGAUUUUAGACAAGUAAACCUAGAACAAUACAUAAAUCAAUCAUUGUUGUACAGCGUCAAUUGGAUUAUAUUUAUCUUAGGUAAUUACUUUAUUUUGAUAGAGUGAUAAGCUACAUACUUUACCAUAUCAUACAGUUUUCUAAACAUUUGAAUAAAACAUUCUGAAAGACAUGGAACGUGCUUUUUUUCGCCUCAAACUGAACAGGCAAGGUCUAUUCUGUCAUGUUAAGUUCUUGGUAAAAGCUUAGCGUGCACAAGGUCACAUCCAUUCAACAGCACUGUACAAUAACACACCCACUACCUCUCCAACACUCUAGUCAUCUUACUUUCCCACACAACCUUUAACAUACAGUACAUUAAAGUCAAAAUAAACCAAAAACAUUGAAUGACACUGAGGGGCAACGUUGUUACAUUUAAUGCCCGUACACAUGCAUACACACACACUCAUUCACACGUAACUAGUGCCAUACAUGCACUCAAAAGUAUUCAGUUGUCCUUGAUUUCUUGCAUAUUUUCCUUUGUUUUUCACUUUAGUUCAUUGUUGCUACAUUGGGGGACGGGGAAUGGAAUCAUUUUAUUAUGAUUUUUUAUUUUUUUCAGGGGUGGUGGGUCUCGGAUGAUUGAGGGGCAGCUCUUGGGAACUUUGGGGGGGGGGAUCUUGGAGGGCUGGUGGCCUGGCGGUUGAGAACUUGGGCCGGUGGCUGAUAGGUUCCUGGGUCGGGUCCCUGUUUCUGACCAUGUGGGAGAUCUGUCGGCAUGCCCUUGGGCAGGACGUUGACCCUGGUUGCUUCUGUGGGUCCCUCUGGAUGGGAGUCUGUUAGAUGACAAUGGAUUUUUGUUGAGCGGCUGUACUGCAGGUAGAUUGUAUGUUUAAUAUUCAG